UACGGGGGGGGCAAGCGUUGUUCGGAAUUACUGGGCGUAAAGGGCUCGUAGGUGGCCAACUAAGUCAGACGUGAAAUCCCCAGGCUUAACCUGGGAACUGCGUCUGAUACUGGAUGGCUUGAAUUCGGGAGAGGGAUGCAGAAUUCCAGGUGUAGCGGUGAAAUGCUUAGAUAUCGUCAAGAACACCGAUAGCGAAGGCAGCUUACUGGGCUGUAACUGACGCUGAGGCACGAAAGUGUGGGGAUCAAACAGG
rnacentral:rRNA from 1 species